rnacentral:sRNA from 1 species
UAAUAAUUCCAACGUUUUCGUUUUAUUGAACAAAUUUGUAAAUUUCGCCAAUUCGGGGGGAAAUAUCGUUUAUUGCGGGAUUUAUUUAUAUAUAAUUAUUAUUUGCAAAAGAUUUAUUAUUUCCCGGAAAAGCGUCGACGCAAAUUCCAUUUAUUCGCCGUCGUAUUUUUUUACCCGUUAAUAUGGGACCAGGAAAACGUUAUUAAUAAUUACCGUAAAUUUGGUUAAAACGGGGCGUAUAAACGAUUUGUUUAUUAAUAUAUUUUUUACCGCGUCCACAAUUAAUUUUUUCCGCGCCGCGUCAAAUAAUAUUCGCCGGUAAAUUAUUUACGGCAAUUUUAAUAUUACGUUCCGGGCCGAUCCCGGUAUAAUAUAAAAAAAUAUCGAUAUUAUUUAAUUGUUAAUAUUUAUUUCGCAUUUGGCCAAUUUUUAAAUUAUUAAUUGGGCGCGUUUUACCGCCGUAUUUAAUUGACGUACGUAGGGCAAAAAUACUUUUUCGACCCGUAACCGCAUCGUAUAUUUAUCGUUUAUCGCCGCGUAAUAUUUGCAAUUUAAAUUUAUUAAUAUAUUAACAAAUUAUAAAUUACUUAAUAAAAUAGGGAUAAAAAACGAUAUUCCGUUUAUAACGUAUUAAAUUAAACCGAUUUCGCCGUAUUUAUUUCCUAAUUUUUUAUUUGUUUUUGUUUUGGUUAUAUUUUGCGGUUUUUAUUUUCGAUUAAAUUUCGCGUCGAAAAUUAUUUGUUUUUUUCCCCGGGGAUCUCCGCCGUAAUUGCGGCUAUUAUUAUAAAAAAACGUAAUGCCGUUACGUACGUAUAAUGCGUUAUUUAAUAACUCGAAAUACCGUAACGCAAAUACGUUUUUGUUUCGCGUUUUUAUUAAUAUUUAUCGUUGGAAACCCAUUGGGCGCGUAAACGCGUACUUUCUUUAUUAAAAUUCGAAAAUUGGGUUUAUUUAAGUUUACGGCGCCCCCUCGUUUUUUUAUUGGAUUUGGAUUCCAUCGCGGCCACGCCCGUUAUAAAUAUAUUUUCGUUUUUUAUUAAUUUGGGAACCGGGGCGGUACCCGCGCGGUAAAAACCGAAACGUUUAUCCAAUUUAAUUAUUUCCAAAUUUUAAACGAUUUGGCGGUAAAUAACCACCAUUUCCAAAUAAAUAUUAUUUCCCAUAUUUCGUUUAAUAUAUAUUUUCCGAAUUUUGGAAAAUACCCGGAAACGCAGGAAAUUAAUACGUAUUUCGUCCGUCCAAAUUAAUUUUCCGGUUAUAACCAAAAAGAUUUCGAAAACCGCAAUAAAUUGGGCGAAUAAUUGGUUUAAUUUUAUUUUUAAUAUUUUAAAUUUGGUUAAAAUUUAUGCCCAUUUAUAAAAAUUAUUGUACGUAUAUUUUAAAUAAUUUAAAAAAUCCGUGUAACGGUACGCGCCGUUUUUGCCGUUUAUUUCGUAAUAAAAACGGACCAUUUUUUAAACAGGCGCGUCGAAUCCCGCCUAUAAAUAUUUAUAUUAAUUGCGACGGUUAUUUAUAAAACCCGCAUCGCGGCGGAAUUUAUAUUUUAUAACGUAU